rnacentral:lncRNA from 1 species
CCACCACUUUGAUGCUUAUAUGUUUUUGAAUUAAAUCAAAUAUUAAAAUGUCUAAUUUUCUAACACUUUAUUCGCUUAUUAGCUAAUUUUUUGCUCUCAUGAAUCUGUAACACAUGCUUUUUAUGAAGCUAUAAAUAAUUUCUAUAUAACAUGUCAUUUUUUAUAAUGUUUGUUAACUUGCAUACUUGGAACAACUUUGUGUUCAUGAGUUUUCCCUCUUAGGCUAGAUGGGCUUGAUCAACAAAUUGAGCAAGUUUUAGCUAGUUAGAUUUCUUUUUUCUACAAUCUAUAUAUUUAUUCGGAUUUAAGUUCUAGAUUUGAUGUAGACGCUUGAAUUUAUCUAUCCAGAAUUUGAUGAUUACUUCAUCAUCAUUCUCAAGAUCUACUGGUUCGUUUGUCUUUCAUAGGUUCGUAAGGAUAGAGUGUGUAGUCAUGCAUGCAUCGUACAAUAGCCUCAGGUCCAUAGUGCAUUAGUGGAAAAUUAUAAAUACUACGUGUAUGCGAUUGUAACUUUAUUAAUCUCAAGAUCUGUCAACUGGAUCUUAUCUUUCUGAGGGUCAUAGAGGUUGAGUAUGUGCAGUAGUGCACCUUGUACAAUAACGCUAUUGUAUAAUUUAGUGGAAAAUAUAUAAGGAAUAAAAUACUAUGCGUUUUGUAUGCGACUGCAACUACAUAUGUUGCCGAUCGCUGGUGAGCUAAUCUCAAUCUAUUCUGGUGCAUCAUGGGCUCAUGGCCCAUUAGACGCUCAGACCACUUAGAUUUUCCACAUUUUCUGACCCACUUAUAUGAAACGCACUUACAAUCGGGAGGCCCACGUUACAACGCUAUUGCCAAGUCUCAUCCGAUAGGAUUCUUUUUGUUUCUCUUUUUUUUUUCAUGUCUCCUACCCCUUCGUCCCUAAAUAACAAUCAUAGUUGAUGUGCAUAUCACAAAUUUAACUUAAUUUUGUAAAAAAAUAUAUAUGCAAUAUUUGUAUCUCUAAAUAAAUUUAUUAAAAAAAUUAGAUUCAAAGAUCUUUUUAAUCAUACUAAUUAUAUAUCAUAAAAUUAAUAUUUUUAAUAUAUAUCUAGUCAAAGUAUUUUAUUGAGAAAUAAAAAUAAUAGAUAUUUAGAGAUAGAGGAAGUACAUUCCGAUCUUCUGAUAUCUCUGCUAUAUUUCAGGCUAUGGCAGCCCAUGCCCCUCUAGCAUCUUCUCCAACUCUGGCGUCUUCUCCAACUUUGGUGAACGACGCAACGUGGAAGGAAGUAAGGAAGAGAGAAGAAAGAAUGGACUAAGAAAGAAGAAAGAGAAAAUUGAAUCG